UUCCAAAGAACGCGGGAUUUC
ensembl:piRNA 21ur-2706 ncRNA